UACGUAGGGGCCGAGCGUUGUCCGGAGUUACUGGGCGUAAAGCGCGCGCAGGCGGCUCGUCAAGCCUGACGUGAAAGCCCCCGGCUCAACCGGGGAGGGUCGUCGGGGACUGGCGGGCUUGAGGUCGGCAGGGGUUGGUGGAAUUCCCGGUGUAGUGGUGAAAUGCGUAGAGAUCGGGAGGAACACCCGUGGCGAAGGCGGCCAACUGGGCCGCACCUGACGCUGAGGCGCGAAGGCGUGGGGAGCGAACAGG
rnacentral:rRNA from 1 species